CGUGGCGAAAGAGGUAACAUAAUAUAAUUACACGUUCUACGAGUUAAACGUCCGCAUGGUUGCUUAUAAAUGCACCUGGGACGUGCGGACGUGCGGUAGAUAUCAAGGGAAGAAUAUCUUUCAAUUUCGAUUAAUGAUGGAAUCAAAAUAAAGUAUGGACUUACAGAAACGUGGGAGGGUUUGCAGGAUCGCAGGUAACGCAAGUCUUUGCUAUGCCGAGGGAGCACUCGGAGUAUGCGGACGACAUGAGCCUUUGUAGUAUGAAGCUAAAGUAUUUAUAGUAUGCGGAACGUUUGCAGGAACUCUUGUAAGUCUUACACACGAUCUGCCUCAUUGUUACGCGUGACACUUGACUUGAUUGCAUCCCUUGAUGUGGACACAAAAAUGCGCACGCCAUAACGUAUGGAUAGGAGUGUGUCCUUUUCGCAAACUUCAUAAAAUUGGUCAUUUGCGGAAGCUGUUAAAAAAACGCAUAAGUGUUAAUACGUUUUUUAUAUUAUCAAUUAUGUUUGAGGAUGAGCGGAAUGAAUAUAGUUUUGAAGAGAAUUUUAGUAAAAUCCUAAUUUCUCACGAAAUAAUCUCAGUCCUUCGCAAGGACUCAGUACAUCCGGUAUUUGUCUGAGCAGGGGAAAAUAUUUUUCUCUAAUGUUCGGCAAACAUCGGUCGAAGCGGCUCGCGUUGCCAUAUAUGGGCAUGUCGAAUCGUCGUUCGAGCAACUCGGGCGAAUAACAAGAUUUGGAAGACAAAAUGAAGAAAAUACUGCGGCAAAAACCGAAUCAGUUGUCUCACGAUUCUAGUCGAAGAAAGUCUUCUUCUCUAGCUCGUAAUUUUCUCUUUGUUCGGUUCACCUCACGAGUGCCGUGUAACCGAGUCUCGUUCGACCGACCAUUCGACGCCUGGUUUUACUAAAUCGGGUUCUCUGCGUUAACCACUAUUAAACUGAGACGAUAAAUACAUAUUCAAUUUCACUGAA